rnacentral:rRNA from 1 species
GCAAGUCGAACGAGAACGGGAUUGCUUGCAAUCCUUAGUAGAGUGGCGCACGGGUGAGUAACACGUAGAUAAUCUACCUUCAAAACUGGAAUAACUAUUCGAAAGGGUAGCUAAUACCGGAUAAAGUUUAUGCACAUAGGUGUAUUUAUGAAAGAUUGCCUCUUCUUGAAAGCAAUUGUUUGGAGAUGAGUCUGCGGACCAUUAGUUUGUUGGCAGGGUAACGGCCUACCAAGACUACGAUGGUUAGCUGGUCUGAGAGGAUGAUC